rnacentral:SRP_RNA from 1 species
GCCGGGCGCGGUGGCGCGUGCCUGUAGUCUCAGUUACUCGGGAGGCUGAGGCUGGAGGAUCGCUUGAGUCCAGGAGUUCUUGGCUGUAGUGCGCUAUGCCGAUCGGGUGUCCGUACUAAGUUUGGCAUCAAUAUGGUGACCUCCCAGGAGCGGAGGACCACCAGGUUGCCUAAGGAGGGGUGAACCGGUCCAGAUCGGAAUGAAAUAUUUACAAAAAUUGACAUUUCCUUAUGCCUAGAUAUUUCACUAGGUCCUU